rnacentral:rRNA from 1 species
GGAUGAGUCUUGCACAAUGGGGGCAACCCUGAUGCAGCGACGCCGCGUGAGCGAUGAAGCCCUUCGGGGUGUAAAGCUCUUUCGGCAGGGAAGAUAGUGACGGUACCUGCAGAAGCAGCUGCGGCUAACUACGUGCCAGCAGCCGCGGUAAUACGUAGGCAGCAAGCGUUGUUCGGAGUUACUGGGCGUAAAGGGUGUGUAGGCGGUUCCGUAAGUCUGGUGUGAAAUCUCCCGGCUCAACUGGGAGGGUGCGCCGGAAACUGCGGGGCUAGAGUGUGGGAUGGGAGAGUGGAAUUCCUGGUGUAGCGGUGAAAUGCGUAGAUAUCAGGAGGAACACCUGCGGUGUAGACGGCUCUCUGGACCAUUACUGACGCUGAAACACGAAAGCGUGGGUAGCAAAACA